rnacentral:rRNA from 1 species
AGCGAACGCUGGCGGCAGGCUUAACACAUGCAAGUCGAACGCCCCGCAAGGGGAGUGGCAGACGGGUGAGUAACACGUGGGAACGUACCCUUUGGUUCGGAAUAACUUGGGGAAACUCAAGCUAAUACCGGAUAAGCCCUUAUGGGGAAAGGUUUACUGCCAAAGGAUCGGCCCGCGUCUGAUUAGCUAGUUGGUGAGGUAAUGGCUCACCAAGGCGACGAUCAGUAGCUGGUCUGAGAGGAUGAUCAGCCACACUGGGACUGAGACACGGCCCAUACUCCUACGGGAGGCAGCAGUGGGGAAUAUUGGACAAUGGGGGCAAACCUGAUCCAGCCAUGCCGCGUGAGUGAUGAAGGCCUUAGGGUUGUAAAGCUCUUUUACCCGGGACGAUAAUGACUGUACCGGGAGAAUAAGCCCCGGCUAACUUCGUGCCAGCAGCCGCCGUAA